ACUUAAACCCGACAGCAACGAAAAUACUUUUUGUAAAAUUGUAGUAGUAAAUUGCUUCAUCGUUCCCCUUCCAUAAAAAUAAGUUAAUGAGGGCGAUAGAUUUCAAAAAGAUUGUAGUGUAUGGCGGGACUAUCG
rnacentral:sRNA from 1 species